ACUAGUACGGCGAGUGAGCGGGAAGAGCUCAAAUUUAAAUCUGGCAGGCUACGCUUGUCCGAAUUGUAAUCUCGAGAAGUGUUUUCCGCGUUGGCCUGUGUACAAGUCCCUUGGAACAGGGCGUCAUAGAGGGUGAGAAUCCCGUCCUUGACACAAACACCCAAUGCUUUGUGAUACACUCUCAAUGAGUCUAGUUGUUUGGGAAUGCAGCUCAGAAUGGGUGGUAAAUUCCAUCUAAAGCUAAAUACUGGCGAGAGACCGAUAGCGAACAAGUACCGGGAGGGAAAGAUGAAAAGCACUUUGGAAAGAGAGUCAAACAGUACGUGAAAUUGUUGAAAGGGAAACGAUUGAAGUCAGUCGUGCCUGCCUAGUCUCACCCUUUUGGUGUACUACUAGGUCGGCAGGUCAGCAUCAGUUUGGGAGGAUUAACAAGGGAGCUAGGAAUGUGGCAACCUCGGUUGUGUUAUAGCCUAGUUUCGCAUUGAUCUUGCUGGACUGAGGAACGCAAUGCGCCCGCAAGGGUUGGUCUUCGGACACAUUCGCACUUAGGAUGCUGGCAUAAUGGCUUUAAAAGACCCGUCUUGAAACACGGACCA
rnacentral:rRNA from 1 species